rnacentral:rRNA from 1 species
UCCAGACUCCUACGGGAGGCAGCAGUGGGGGAUAUUGCACAAUGGGGGGAACCCUGAUGCAGCGACGCCGCGUGGGUGAAGGAGCGUUUCGGCGCGUAAAGCCCUAUCGGCAGGGAAGAAAAUGACGGUACCUGACUAAGAAGCCCCGGCUAACUACGUGCCAGCAGCCGCGGUAAUACGUAGGGGGCAAGCGUUAUCCGGAUUUACUGGGUGUAAAGGGAGCGUAGACGGCCAGACAAGUCAGAAGUGAAAGCCCAGGGCUCAACCCUGGGACUGCUUUUGAAACUGCCGGGCUGGAGUGCAGGAGAGGUAAGCGGAAUUCCUAGUGUAGCGGUGAAAUGCGUAGAUAUUAGGAGGAACACCAGUGGCGAAGGCGGCCUGCUGGACGACAACUGACGGUGAGGCGCGAAAGCGUGGGGAGCAAACAGGAUUAGAUACCCCCGUAAA